ACAGCAAGCAAUACAAUGCUGACACAAAGCUGACUGACUGCCAUGACUAACUACAUUUUAAGCAGACUAAAUAGAAGCCUUUAAAUUACAGUUGCCUUAAUUUAUGUCAGUGUUUCAGUCCAGACCUCAAAUGUUGACCUAGAUCAAAAAUCCAGAAUCAACCAAAUCAGUUAAUGAAGAAUCCAUGUGCAUGAAAGUAGUGGACUGACUGCUGCAAGUGAGAUGAAAAGAAAAGAGAAGAAGAGACAGUCAUGUUGAUAUGAACAUUAGAGAAACACAUCAUGGAGCUGAAAUAUGAUCCUGCUUCCUCAUUUGGACUCAUUCACCUCAGCUGACACAUUCAACAGCGACAGGUUUUUGUAGCAGUCUGUCUCACUGUGGGAAACAUCUUUGGCUCUGGAACUAAACUCUAUGUAACAGAUGAGCAGGUAGUGAAGCCCGUGGUGAGCGUGUACCCAGCAGCAUCCAGAGCCCACCUGGAGGGGAACAGCUCCCUGCUGUGUGUGGCCUCAGCCAUGUUUCCUCCUCUGGUCCAGUUCUCCUGGAAAAGACAGAAGAAGAACGGCGGAGAAGCGGAGGAGCUGCCCCCUGCUGAGGGAGAGCAGCUGGAGCUCAGAGAGGCGGGACGCACCAUUGCCAUCAGGAUGGUUGAUCGUGAUGUUUUUGACACAUACAUGUACAGCUGCUGGGUGAAGCACGAGGGGGGCACAGUGGAGGCCCAAACACAACAAGAGCUUCCAGCUCUUCCACCAGCCCUGUAUGUUCCUUCUCUUCCUUCUAUUCACGAGGUGAAGCUGCUCUGCCUGCUGUACACAGUGCUGAUAGUGAAGAGUCUGGUGUACUGCUGUGGACUCUCUCUGCUGAUGAUCCUCACAAACAAGGGAGCGUCCACCAACUGCACACAUGCUGACUGACUGUUUUCUGCUCGCCUUUUCUCACCAUCAGAUUUCUGGGACAGCAGACAGAAAUGUCAAUUCUGUGCUGGUUGGUUCAAUGUUUGUUUAUUGAGAAUUUGGUGUUUUCUCAUUUAAUCAUCUUAAACCUAGAUGCAUAUAAUAAAUGUGCUUUAUGUGCUUGUAUAAAGCAUAGAUUCUUUAUGUGAAGUUUUGAUUUUUUUAAUGUAAAGUUUAAUUGAUUUUUUGUUCAGCUGUGCAGAAAAACUGAGUUGAUGCAUUCAGAUCCCACCAUAAUACAAUAACAGGAAUUAUUUUGUAUUUUGUUUGAAGUAAAAAUAAAGAUUUGAACUUUAAGAAUGUGUUUCUCAUUUUCUGUCAUGCAUAACCUGUGUGACUGCAGC
ensembl:lncRNA